rnacentral:rRNA from 1 species
ACGGGCCAAAGAGGGGGACCUUCGGGCCUCUCGCGUCAAGAUAUGCCUAGGUGGGAUUAGCUAGUUGGUGAGGUAAUGGCUCACCAAGGCGACGAUCCCUAGCUGGUCUGAGAGGAUGAUCAGCCACACUGGAACUGAGACACGGUCCAGACUCCUACGGGAGGCAGCAGUGGGGAAUAUUGCACAAUGGGCGAAAGCCUGAUGCAGCCAUGCCGCGUGUAUGAAGAAGGCCUUCGGGUUGUAAAGUACUUUCAGUUGUGAGGAAGGGGGUGUAGUUAAUAGCUGCAUCUCUUGACGUUAGCAACAGAAGAAGCACCGGCUAACUCCGUGCCAGCAGCCGCGGUAAUACGGAGGGUGCGAGCGUUAAUCGGAAUUACUGGGCGUAAAGCGCAUGCAGGUGGUUCAUUAAGUCAGAUGUGAAAGCCCG